UUCUCUCAUCAACGUCACCGUGAGGCCAAAAAAUAUUGCGUGUACCAGCUGCCAGUGGCUGCAAUCCAAGGCGUCCCUGCUGCCCCACGAGCAGAGCCACAGCCUGGCCACUAGUGCCCACCAAGGCCAAAAUGCCAUCUUCCUGGCUCCUGGAGGGCUGAGGGCCGCGUUGAAGAGCUGGGACAAGUGGCAGUGGGGUCUGGGGCGGCAGCUGGGACAGAGCACAGAACAUGGCGGCAGCUGGCUCCUCCCCUCCCUGUGAGGUUCCUCUGUCAGUAGCCGCGUGUGGCAGAGGCGGCUGCUGCUGAGAGGCAAGCAAGGUGAAGACAAUAAGGAGGUGUCAUGAGAAGCAGAGGGUAACCACAAAGAAGCAUCUGAUGUCUACGCAGAAGUGUCAUCUAGCACAGACAACAGAAAUCAGGUCUCUGAAUUGCAGUGGAUAUAGCAAUGACUCCUGGAUCUUUUUUGCUUAUUCUACUGUUACUCCAGUGAGACACGGAUCCUCAGCUGGCGAAAGCUAUGGCAAAAUCAUUCAAGUAAAUGAAAGACCGUCCCAUUAAUGUCCUCACUGAACAUCGAUGCAUCCAACGGAGGUGGAUGAUGAGAAUAAAGUGACAGUUACAUCAGUACA
rnacentral:lncRNA from 1 species